rnacentral:rRNA from 1 species
AUUGAACGCUGGCGGCAUGCCUUACACAUGCAAGUCGAACAGUAACAGGUCUUCGGACGCUGACGAGUGGCGAACGGGUGAGUAAUACAUCGGAACGUGCCUAGUAGUGGGGGAUAACUACUCGAAAGAGUGGCUAAUACCGCAUGAGAUCUACGGAUGAAAGCAGGGGAUCGCAAGACCUUGUGCUACUAGAGCGGCCGAUGGCAGAUUAGGUAGUUGGUGGGAUAAAAGCUUACCAAGCCGACGAUCUGUAGCUGGUCUGAGAGGACGAUCAGCCACACUGGGACUGAGACACGGCCCAGACUCCUACGGGAGGCAGCAGUGGGGAAUUUUGGACAAUGGGCGCAAGCCUGAUCCAGCAAUGCCGCGUGCAGGAUGAAGGCCUUCGGGUUGUAAACUGCUUUUGUACGGAACGAAAAGCCCUGGGUUAAUACCCUGGGGUCAUGACGGUACCGUAAGAAUAAGCACCGGCUAACUACGUGCCAGCCGCCGCCGUAAGAC